AUGCAAGUCGAACGAACUCUGGUAUUGAUUGGUGCUUGCAUCAUGAUUUACAUUUGAGUGAGUGGCGAACUGGUGAGUAACACGUGGGAAACCUGCCCAGAAGCGGGGGAUAACACCUGGAAACAGAUGCUAAUACCGCAUAACAACUUGGACCGCAUGGUCCGAGUUUGAAAGAUGGCUUCGGCUAUCACUUUUGGAUGGUCCCGCGGCGUAUUAGCUAGAUGGUGGGGUAACGGCUCACCAUGGCAAUGAUACGUAGCCGACCUGAGAGGGUAAUCGGCCACAUUGGGACUGAGACACGGCCCAAACUCCUACGGGAGGCAGCAGUAGGGAAUCUUCCACAAUGGACGAAAGUCUGAUGGAGCAACGCCGCGUGAGUGAAGAAGGGUUUCGGCUCGUAAAACUCUGUUGUUAAAGAAGAACAUAUCUGAGAGUAACUGUUCAGGUAUUGACGGUAUUUAACCAGAAAGCCACGGCUAACUACGUGCCAGCAGCCGCGGUAAUACGUAGGUGGCAAGCGUUGUCCGGAUUUAUUGGGCGUAAAGCGAGCGCAGGCGGUUUUUUAAGUCUGAUGUGAAAGCCUUCGGCUCAACCGAAGAAGUGCAUCGGAAACUGGGAAACUUGAGUGCAGAAGAGGACAGUGGAACUCCAUGUGUAGCGGUGAAAUGCGUAGAUAUAUGGAAGAACACCAGUGGCGAAGGCGGCUGUCUGGUCUGUAACUGACGCUGAGGCUCGAAAGUAUGGGUAGCAAACAGGAUUAGAUACCCCUGGUAGUCCAUACCGUAAACGAUGAAUGCUAAGUGUUUGGGAGGGUUUCCGCCCUUCAGUGCUGCAGCUAACGCAUUAAGCAUUCCGCCUGGGGAGUACGGCCGCAAGGCUGAAACUCAAAGGAAUUGACGGGGGCCCGCACAAGCGGUGGAGCAUGUGGGUUUAAUUCGAAGCUACGCGAGA
rnacentral:rRNA from 2 species